UUUUUUUUUUUUUAAAGACAAAGUUUCACUUUGUCACCCAGGCUGGUCUUGAUUCCUGACUUCAAGAGAUGCUCUUACCUCCACCUCCUGAAGCCCCAAAGGGCUGGAAUUACAGCCAGUGAGCCACGGCACCCAGCCUCCAAUUCUUUAGAUUUUACAUUUUAGAACCAAAAUGGGUUAAAUACACUGUUCUGUAAUCUGCUCUUUUCUUUAAUAGUAGCUCAUGUACAUCUUUCAAGGUCAAGAGAAAGCUCUCACUUUCUCCCCGUUUUAUUUUUCCUUCCCUCAUUCUUUUUCACUGCUGCAUAACAUUCCAUUGUAAUUUUGCCACUGUUUAUUAGACCAGUCCUCUGCUGAGCUUUACAGAGCCCUUAGUUGGGAUGUUAGUGAGAAACCAUGACAGCAGUGGAGACAGUCAUCUCCCUGACAUGCUGUCAGCUUUUGGAUGAUGUGAAAAUGCAAGCAGGCACAGGAAAUGUCUCUAACGCUAUGAUCACACCACUGCACUCCAGCCUGGGCAACACAGCAAGACCCUGUCUCAAAAAAAAAGAAAAAGGGUGUAUUUCAAAGGCAGGAGUAUCAUGAUUUGGUGAUGUGUUGGAGAUGAGAUGGAGGAAAGAGAAGACUCCAGGUGGAUUUGGUUUCUUAGCAUGGUUCAUUAGGUGAGUGGGGGUGCCAUUCAUUGAAGUGAGAAGCCUGAGUCAGAGCAGAAACCAAGAGCUGAGUCUUGGACACACGGAGAUGAGUAAUUGGAUAUUCAAAUCUGGAGGCUGGGCACAGUGGCUCACACCUGUCAUUGUCCCAACACAUUGGGAGGCCAAGGCGGGUGGAUCACCUGAGUUCGAGACCAGGCUGGCCAACAUGGUGAAACCCCAUUUCUACUAAAAAUACAAAAAUUAGCUGGGCAUGGUGGCGCACCUAUAAUCCCAGCUACUCGGGAGGCUGAGGCAGGAGAAUCGCUUGAACCCAGGAGGCAGAGGCUGUGGUGAGCUGAGAUUGCACUACCGCACUCCAGCCUCGGCGACAGAGAGAGACUCCAUCUCAAAAAAAAAAAAAAAAAAAUUUGCCAAGGUGUGAUGGUGUGUGCCUGUAGUCCCCGCUAUCCAGGAGGCUAAGCCGGGAGGGUUGCUUGAGCUUGGGAGGUUGAGG
rnacentral:lncRNA from 1 species